GGUGCUGCAUGGCUGUCGUCCCUCGUGUCGUGAGAUGUUGGGUUAAGUCCCGUAACCAGCGCAACCCUUGUCCUUAAUUACCAGCACGUUAAGGUGGGCACUCUAAGGAGACUGCCGGUGACAAACCGGAGGAAGGUGGGGAUGACGUCAAGUCAUCAUGGCCCUUACGGCCUGGGCUACACACGUGCUACAAUGGUCGGUACAAAGGGUUGCCAACCCGCGAGGUGAAGCUAAUCCCAUAAAACCGAUCGUAUUCCGAAUCGCAUUCUGCAACUCAACUGCGUGAAGUCGAAAUCCC
rnacentral:rRNA from 1 species